UGGAGCAGCAAACCAUGUAGACAGAAGAAAAGCUAAAGGACUACAUGUUGAAGUAGUAAUAGUUACUGCAGUACUGCACACACUGCAUCUGAUUUGACUUGUUGUAUGGUAAAUUGCCCGUCCACGCAGGAAGCAUAGCUGAUGAACUCAUGGAAGAAAUAAAGAAGGAAGUUGAAGAAUAAUGCUGCUCCAAAGUAUUCAUAUAUGGUUCCAACUUUGUAAAAAUGGGGCAUGCUUGUUUUAUGUUAUACAAGAGAAACCUGAGAAUAUGGUAUUAUUUGUUUGUAUA